rnacentral:lncRNA from 1 species
AGCAUCCAGGCGGGAUCCUUUGGCGGCAGCAGCAGAGAGAGCUCCACCCGGAUAAUGCAGAGGCCCAGGCUCCAGCGGACUUCAAGUCCCAGAGCAGGCUGCACCCGCGUCUGCGUGAAAUCUAAAGGGACUUGGCCUGAUCACAAAUGAGCUAACUUCGCGGCGGGGCUGGCGAACACAGACAAUGCCAGCCUGGAGGAGGCAGUGGCCAGCACUGCUUAGGCCUCGUUCCCAGGACGCGCAUUACUGAGUGCUGUACUUUACCCUUUGGAUGAAGGCUCCAGAGUACGACCUCCCCAAACUGAUAUCAAAGAAGUGCUUUGCAUGGGGCUUGAGAAAACAUCUUACUGUUUAAGAAAAGAACGUCUUACUGUCUGAGAAGCUGAAUAGAAUGAGAUGCCAUCAGUAUUGGGUGUUAUUUUUCAGAAGUUGCUCAAAGAAGGAGAGAAGAUGGUUAAGUGGGGAUGGAG